rnacentral:tmRNA from 1 species
GGGGAUGAUCGGUUUCGACGGCGGUCGUCGAUCGAGGGGAAGCGGGUCGAGGACGCGCGCUCAGCUCGUGAACGAUGCGUGCAAACCAAUAGGUGCCGAACAGAAUCGCACCGACUACGUUCUUGCUGCCUGAUAGCAGUCUGAACCUUUAGUCCGUCAGCCCGGGUGGUGCUCCCAGCCCGGAUCCUGGCGUCAUUCAGGGAGCCACUGGUCGUCGACCUCGUCAGCGGGUCGGCUUCGACACUCAGUUGACUGAGCCCAUCCGGCAGGCAUGUCUGCAUGACGUCGGGGGCCGAGAAAUAGCUUGCAGACUGUGCCCGGAGAAGACCUCGGGGCCGGCCGUCGGACGGGGGUUCGAUUCCCCCCCAUCUCCAC